AGUUUGGAUUCUGGCUCAGAUUGAACGCUGGCGGAUGCUUUACACAUGCAAGUCUGAACGGCAGCACGGACUCUGGUCUGGUGGCGAGUGGCGAACGGUGAGUAAUGGUCAAACGUAUUUCAGUAGCGGGGGAUAACUACGCGAAAGCGUGGAAGCAUACUGCAUAUUGCCCUUCGGGGGAAGUGGUAUCCUCGGGCCUCGCAGCACUAUUAGAGCGGCCGAUAUCGGAUUAGCUAGUUGCGGCAACGGCUCACCAAGGCGACGAUCCGUAGCUGGUUUGAGAGGACAUCUGCGCCACACUGGGAUCUCGAGACACGGCCCAUUCCUACGGGAGGCAGCAGUGGACUUUGGGAUACCAGCUGGGGGAAAACCUGAUCCAGCCAUCCGCGUGUGCGAUGCGAAGGCCUUCGGGUUGUAAAGCACUUUUGGCAGGAAGAAACGGCACGGAUAAUACUCCCGUGCAACUGACGGUACCUGCAGAAUAAGCACCGCUGUCCUACGUGCCAGCAGCCGGUAAUGUAGGUGCAAGCGUUAAUCGUGGAAUUACGCUGGGCGGGGCGCGUGCGCAGGCGGUUCGGAAAGAAAGAUGCGAAAUCCCAGAGCUUAACUUUGGAACUGCAUUUUUAACUACCGCCGAGCUAGAGUGUGUCAGAGGGAGGUGGAAUUCCGCGUGUAGCAGAAAUGCGUAGAUAUGGAGGAACACCGGAUGGCGAAGGCAGCCUCCUGGGAUAACACUGACGCUCAUGCACGAAAGCGUGGGGAGCAACAGGAUUAGAUACCUCUGUAGUCCACGCCCUAAACGAUGUCAACUAGCUGUUGGGUUUCGGCCUUGGUAGCGCAGCUAACGUGAAGUUGGACCGCCCGGGGAGUACGGUCGCAAGAUUACAAACUCAAAGGAAUUGACGGGACCCGCACAAGCGGUGGAUGAUGUGGAUUAAUCGAUGCAACGCGAAAAACCUUACCACCCUUGACAUGUCUGGAAUCCCGGAAGAGAUUUGGGAGUGCUCUUCGCAAGAGAACUCGGAACACAGGCGCGUAUGGCUGUCGUCAGCUCGUGUCGAGAUGCUGGGUUAAGUCCUGCAACGAGCGCAACCCUUGUCAUUAGUUGUUACGGAAAGGGCAGACUUUAAUGAGACUGCUGCGGCUAAACCGGAGAGGUGGGGAUGAUGUCAAGUCCUCAUGGCCUUGGCGGUAGGGCUUCACACGUCAUACAAUGGUCGGGACAGUGGUCGCCAACCCGCGAGGGGAGCCAAUCCCAGAAACCCGAUCGUAGUCCGAUCGCAGUCUGCAACUCGACUGCGUGAAGUCGGAAUCGCCAGUAACGAUCAGCAUGUCGGGUGGUGAUACGUUCCCGGGUCUUGUGCCACACUGCCCGUCACACCAUGGGAGGGCUUUACCAGGCGGUUAGUCUAACCGUGAAGGAGGGCGAUUACCAUGUAGGAUUCAUGACUUCGGGGUGAAGUCGUACUGCUGGUAG
rnacentral:rRNA from 1 species